rnacentral:rRNA from 1 species
GACAUGGCUCAGGAUGAACGCUAGCUACAGGCUUAACACAUGCAAGUCGAGGGGAAACGACAUCGAAAGCUUGCUUUUGAUGGGCGUCGACCGGCGCACGGGUGAGUAACGCGUAUCCAACCUGCCCAUCACUUGGAAAUAACCUUGCGAAAGUAAGACUAAUACCCAAUGAUAUCCCACGAAGGCAUCCGAAUGGGAUUAAAGAUUUAUCGGUGAUGGAUGGGGAUGCGUCUGAUUAG